GACGAACCGUGCGAACGUUGUUCGGAAUCACUGGGCUUAAAGGGCGCGUAGGUGGUUUGCCAAGUCGGGGUUGAAAUCUUUCGGCUUAACCGGAAAAGUGGCUUCGAUACUGGCAAGCUGGAGGGAGGUAGGGGCGGAUGGAACUUCCGGUGGAGCGGUGAAAUGUGUUGAUAUCGGAAGGAACGCCGGUGGCGAAAGCGAUCCGCUGGACCUCUUCUGACGCUGAGGCACGAAGGUCAGGGGAGCAAACGGG
rnacentral:rRNA from 1 species